rnacentral:rRNA from 1 species
GCAAGUCGAGGGGUAACAGGGGUGCUUGCAUCCGCUGACGACCGGCGCACGGGUGCGUAACGCGUAUAGAACCUACCUUUUACAGGGGGAUAGCCUUAGGAAACUGAGAAUAAUACCCCAUAGUAUUAUUGAAUCGCAUGGUUUAGUAAUUAAAGUGUUAGCGGUAGAAGAUGGAUGUGCGUACCAUUAGAUAGUUGGUGAGGUAACGGCUCACCAAGUCAGCGAUGGUUAGGGGGCGUGAGAGCGUGGUC